CCAAUGAAUCGUUAGUUCAACGUAGGGUCUCCGGUCUCCUCUGGAGACCCUAGUCUUGGGGAAUUUUGGCUCCGCUGUCAAGCCAUCAGCUGUGCAAUCCCUAAGUCUUUUUCCUCUGAUGGCUCAACUGUGGCUGCCCGGGCAACCUGAGGAGGUUUACGUUUUUUUGAUGGGACUAUGAAGUCUUCUAGAUUCCACGUAUUUUGUGGAAUCCGUUCUAUGAGUCUAACUCCUUCCCUUUUAGGAGAGCGUUGGAAUCUCUGACUGUUUGGUAACUGUUUCCAUAGUUGUAAUAAGACCUGGUUAGGCUGUCCAUCGAUCUUUUGAAAUUGAACUCCAGCCCUAAUCAAGUCAGUAAACAUUUGUUUUCUUGAGACCCUGAUGGGUCCAGAUUGAAUUACACUAGGGGCAGGUCUCCUAGGUCGUGGUGGCGGAUGGAUGUCCGACUUUUCCACCACCAUUCGGACAUUGCGCCUGGCGCGCAGGCGCUCUGUCUCCCCCAGAUCUGCCACCAAUUGGGCGGCCUGUUGUAUAAUGGCCUCUGAGGCUACUAGGGGAUUUAGUAUGGAUACCAAAAUUCCAUACUGAUGUGGUGGAGCCUGCUGCAGGAUGAGGUCCCUCAUUCCUGCGGAAAAUUUUAUCAUAUCUGGGCUCUCAAAAUUGUCCUCAUAAAUUGCCUCCUUCAUACCUAAUUCUCGGAUAUAAUUUUGUAAGUCCUCCAUAGAGGACCACAGGCCAGUAUUUAACGGUAUGUCCGUUUUAUUUGCCCAUGUCACACGGCAUGCGGCCAUUAACCAUGCAAUCAAUAUUUGGCUGCCUGGCUCGCCAAAAUGUAGGGCAAAUGAAGGUGAUGACAAAGCCUUUAUUUAAGAAAUAGGCACACGAGGGAAAGAUAUCAAAAAGAAUCGACUCACCCCUCCCGGUAGCAGCGCGCAGCCCGAGCCGAGCUGAGGAAUGUGUCCCUCCCCCGUUCGUACCGCCGCGCCGCCGCACUCACACACUC
ensembl:lncRNA